rnacentral:rRNA from 1 species
UAACAUUUGGAAACAGAUGCUAAUACCGCAUAAAUCCAAGAACCGCAUGGUUCUUGGCUGAAAGAUGGCGUAAGCUAUCGCUUUUGGAUGGACCCGCGGCGUAUUAGCUAGUUGGUGAGGUAACGGCUCACCAAGGCAAUGAUACGUAGCCGAACUGAGAGGUUGAUCGGCCACAUUGGGACUGAGACACGGCCCAAACUCCUACGGGAGGCAGCAGUAGGGAAUCUUCCACAAUGGACGCAAGUCUGAUGGAGCAACGCCGCGUGAGUGAAGAAAGGCUUUCGGGUCGUAAAACUCUGUUGUUGGAGAAGAAUGGUCGGCAGAGUAACUGUUGUCGGCGUGACGGUAUCCAACCAGAAAGCCACGGCUAACUACGUGCCAGCAGCCGCGGUAAUACGUAGGUGGCAAGCGUUAUCCGGAUUUAUUGGGCGUAAAGCGAGCGCAGGCGGUUUUUUAAGUCUGAUGUGAAAGCCCUCGGCUUAACCGAGGAAGUGCAUCGGAAACUGGGAAACUUGAGUGCAGAAGAGGACAGUGGAACUCCAUGUGUAGCGGUGAAAUGCGUAGAUAUAUGGAAGAACACCAGUGGCGAAGGCGGCUGUCUGGUCUGUAACUGACGCUGAGGCUCGAAAGCAUGGGUAGCGAACAGGAUUAGAUACCCUGGUAGUCCAUGCCGUAAACGAUGAAUGCUAGGUGUUGGAGGGUUUCCGCCCUUCAGUGCCGCAGCUAACGCAUUAAGCAUUCCGCCUGGGGAGUACGACCGCAAGGUUGAAACUCAAAGGAAUUGACGGGGGCCCGCACAAGCGGUGGAGCAUGUGGUUUAAUUCGAAGCAACGCGAAGAACCUUACCAGGUCUUGACAUCUUUUGAUCACCUGAGAGAUCAGGUUUCCCCUUCGGGGGCAAAAUGACAGGUGGUGCAUGGUUGUCGUCAGCUCGUGUCGUGAGAUGUUGGGUUAAGUCCCGCAACGAGCGCAACCCUUAUGACUAGUUGCCAGCAUUUAGUUGGGCACUCUAGUAAGACUGCCGGUGACAAACCGGAGGAAGGUGGGGAUGACGUCAAAUCAUCAUGCCCCUUAUGACCUGGGCUACACACGUGCUACAAUGGAUGGUACAACGAGUUGCGAGACCGCGAGGUCAAGCUAAUCUCUUAAAGCCAUUCUCAGUUCGGACUGUAGGCUGCAACUCGCCUACACGAAGUCGGAAUCGCUAGUAAUCGCGGAUCAGCACGCCGCGGUGAAUACGUUCCCGGGCCUUGUACACACCGCCCGUCACACCAUGAGAGUUUGUAACACCCGAAGCCGGUGGCGUAACCCUUUUAGGGAGCGAGCCGUCUAAGGG